CUUCCAGACUCCUACGGGAGGCAGCAGUGGGGAAUAUUGCACAAUGGGGGAAACCCUGAUGCAGCAACGCCGCGUGAGUGAAGAAGUAUUUCGGUAUGUAAAGCUCUAUCAGCAGGGAAGAAGAUGACGGUACCUGAAUAAGAAGCCCCGGCUAACUACGUGCCAGCAGCCGCGGUAAUACGUAGGGGGCAAGCGUUAUCCGGAUUUACUGGGUGUAAAGGGGGCGCAGACGGCGAUGCAAGCCAGGAGUGAAAGCCCGGGGCCCAACCCCGGGACUGCUCUUGGAACUGCGUGGCUGGAGUGCAGGAGGGGCAGGCGGAAUUCCUGGUGUAGCGGUGAAAUGCGUAGAUAUUAGGAGGAACACCAGUGGCGAAGGCGGCUUACUGGACUGUAACUGACGUUGAGGCUCGAAAGCGUGGGGAGCAAACAGGAUUAGAUACCCGAGUA
rnacentral:rRNA from 1 species